rnacentral:rRNA from 1 species
AUUGAACGCUGGCGGCAUGCCUUACACAUGCAAGUCGAACGGCAGCACGGGUGCUUGCCCCUGGUGGCGAGUGGCGAACGGGUGAGUAAUACAUCGGAACAUGUCCUGUAGUGGGGGAUAGCCCGGCGAAAGCCGGAUUAAUACCGCAUACGAUCUACGGAUGAAAGCGGGGGACCUUCGGGCCUCGCGCUAUAGGGUUGGCCGAUGGCUGAUUAGCUAGUUGGUGGGGUAAAGGCCUACCAAGGCGACGAUCAGUAGCUGGUCUGAGAGGACGACCAGCCACACUGGGACUGGGACACGGCCCAGACUCCUACGGGAGGCAGCAGUGGGGAAUUUUGGACAAUGGGCGAAAGCCUGAUCCAGCAAUGCCGCGUGUGUGAAGAAGGCCUUCGGGUUGUAAAGCACUUUUGUCCGGAAAGAAAUCCUUGGCCCUAAUACGGUCGGGGGAUGACGGUACCGGAAGAAUAAGCACCGGCUAACUACGU